rnacentral:lncRNA from 1 species
GACGGACAACCCCAGGCUGACUAACAUGAUGAGGUAUCACCUCCAGAGAAGUCCCCUCCGGUUGGAGGGGCUCCGCCUCGCUACUAGCUUUCCGGUGCCUUGCAGGAAAUGCCGAACCCCACCCUUCCAUGGAUCCCGUCGUGAUCUACAACAAACAUUGAAACAUAAUACGCACCCCUUACUGCGCCGCGUCUGUUUCCCGGAUAAACUACUUGGAGCUGAUUGAAUUGUGCUAUCCGUCCUUUGAGGUCCCCUCCGAACGCCAAGAGAGCCUAGCCACGAAAACCCGUUCGAUGGUACCGAACUAGUAUUAUAUGGCCUGUAUCUCUCUCCCAACAUCCGGCUGGAACAAACCCCCCAGAACUUCCUGCGAAGUUGACCCCUCCAUCACCUCAUCCGAUCGAUUUCAUCCACCUCUCGCCUCCUACCUCCGCACCACCUGAAGUACAUUCUAAGCCCUGGCCCCCAAACCUUUGACGGAGAGGGGGGUCGAUAGUCCACUUCUUAAGCAAUAGUCCGGUGGGGGAGAAACGGCUAACCCGCACCUUAUAUUGACAUAGGCUAGCAUAUGGAGUAACCCUCGUUGAACCAAGGCCCCCCGACCCGCUUUGGCUGAUCGGGGGGUUCCGGGAGCAAAUUCUGGUGGGCGAGUACAGUGGAUCCUAGAUCGAUCGAACAAGGUAACUUCGAAAACAAACUCCCGAAUCUUUCCCAAACAGCUCUUCCAUAGUUUUUCCAGUCCGCAGCAACGACUCAGGUUUGGAUGGGCGAAAUCACGACGGCAGCCACAAAAAAAUGGAUCUCCGACAUCACACAACCCGACACACCUAAGUUUCGCGAGGCUCGGCCCCUCUUCCCCUUCGGAUGUCCCCCUUCGGUACACCACCACAUCAUGCCAUCCAGUCUGGAGCGUCGCCGACUCCCGUUGGCCAAGGUAGGGCCAACACAAGAGUAGCGGACGAACCAGUCAUCUGGUCUUACCGGAGAAAGGGAGAGGUAGACUGCCACCACCAAACCCCACCCAAGCACACACCAGGCAGCAAAAAGCCAUCAUCCUAAAAGAUGGUCCCACUUCACAAGACGAGGAGGUUCCCCGUCCUUCAUUCCAACCCCAGGUGAGAACACACACACCCUUCUUUGCGAUGGAUAAAAGGCAAAAAGAGAGGGCAAAAAAGCCAACGGCAAAUUCCAACCAGACCCCCAGAGGCACACACCACAAAAAGUGAAGCCAGAGAGAGCCAGACAAAGAGAAGGAUAGAGAGAGAGGGAGAGUAGACCCCCCCGGAAGAGAAUCAUAGGUGCUGCGGCCUUUUCGGGAAUGUGACCAGGAAAGAGAGAAACCGACGAGGCCGAUACACACAUUAAAAAAUGAAAAAGUAACCAUCACCGCGAAGGAUUUCCUCAAAAGACAAAUCAGCAAGAAGUAUGUCCAAUCCCGGGGGCCCAUCGCCCCUCCAAAUUAAUGGAGGGGUCGGAUAGAAAUUUAUAGAAAUGUUACUUUUGUGAAACCCCUAGCCGACGAGAGAACUCUCACCGGUUUCGAAGUUCCAUUUUCACAUUCCGACCUGGGAUGUUAUGACUCCUCGGCCCACACUGCGAACGCGUCCCACACCCCCUCCAAGUUUAUCAGGAAUUUCACCUGAGCUUGCAAUAGAGAUCGAGCGCGGUGGCGGUCACAGUGGUGGUCGACCAGGCGGAGCUUGAACGGCCUCGGCAAACACUUCUCCCCACCCUCCCAAAUGAAUGAGAGAAUGGCUUGACAAUACCGAGGCCAUCGCCCCCCGCCAAAAAUGGUUACUAGCUCUUGGGACUCGCUGCGACGUUACGCGUAUCGGCACAAGACCAACCCUCUUUUUCCAGUCGCCCGCGCACCAAAAAAAAUUUUGGCAGCGGGACUCACAAUCCUUGACAGCCAGCUCACCAUAUAAUACUCGGCGACCCUCCGCGGGACCUCCUCAGAGGGUCGCGUCGCCGGGAAACUAACCCCCACUCCUCACUGAUCCAAGGUAACACGCCAGAAGUAUCCAGGUAACCCCAGUAGUAUCCAGGUAUCCCCCCUGCGAACGUCGGUACUGGGCUCAAAGAAGGCAGCGAGCAGUCGGGACCCGUAGGCACCGAGCAACCGUCACCCCCUCACGACUUUUCCCGAGACGCUUCAGAGGAACCCUUCCCCCACAUAGUACUCUCUGUGGGAUUCGGCAGGCCCCCCCGUCCUACUGCACUAAGGAAGUUCCGAGACACACUUUUUUUUGUGGAAGACCACCCACCCUCCCUGUCCUGCCUGCUAUCCCCGCCGCGACUCCUGGUCCCGGCCCUCCUCCCCGACUUCCUCCUUGUCCCGCUGCGAGUCCCGGACCUCCUCCCCCACUACCUACUCCCGCCGCGAGUCCCAGUCCCGGCCUUCCUCCUCCUCCUCCUCUUCCCUAGUCCCGGCGCGAGUCCCGGACCUCCUCCCCCACUUCCUAGUCCCGUCGCGAGUCCCGGACCUCCUCCCCCUCUU